GGUACCCCCUGUAUAUACUAGGUGGUGUCAGAGGACUGGACCGGUACCCCCUGUAUAUACUAGGUGGUGUCAGAGGACUGGACCGGUACCCCCUGUAUUUAAACUAGGUGGUGUCAGAGGACUGGACCGGUACCCCCUGUAUAUACUAGGUGGUGUCAGAAGACUGGAUCGGUACCCCCUGUAUAUACUAGGUGGUGUCAGAGGACUGGACCGGUACCCCCUGUAUAUACUAGGUGGUGUCAGAGGACUGGACCGGUACCCCCUGUAUAUACUAGGUGGUGUCAGAGGACUGCACCGGUACCCCCUGUAUAUACUAGGUGGUGUCAGAGGACUGGACCGGUACCCCCUGUAUAUACUAGGUGGUGUCAGAGGACUGGACCGGUACCCCCUGUAUAUACUAGGUGGUGUCAGA
rnacentral:lncRNA from 1 species